GUAUGUAUAGCUCAGUGGUAGAGUGCGUGCUUAGCAUGCACAGGGUCCUGGGUUCAAUCCCCCAGUGCCUCCA
rnacentral:tRNA from 1 species